GGCAGCGUGGCUUAACGGAGAGAGCACGGGGAUGGGAGUCAGAGACGUGGGUUCUAGUCCCUCCUCCGCCA
rnacentral:tRNA from 1 species